rnacentral:rRNA from 1 species
CCUACGGGAGGCAGCAGUGGGGGAUAUUGGACAAUGGGGGGAACCCUGAUCCAGCGACGCCGCGUGAGUGAAGAAGUAUUUCGGUAUGUAAAGCUCUGUCAGCAGGGAAGAAAGAAAUGACGGUACCUGACCAAGAAGCCCCGGCUAACUACGUGCCAGCAGUCGCGGUAAUACGUAGGGGGCAAGCGUUAUCCGGAAUUACUGGGUGUAAAGGGGGCGUAGACGGUUAAGUAAGUCUGGAGUGAAAGGCCGGGGCCCAACCCCGGGACUGCUCUGGAAACUAUUGAACUUGAGUGCAGGAGAGGUAAGCGGAAUUCCUAGUGUAGCGGUGAAAUGCGUAGAUAUUAGGAGGAACACCAGUGGCGAAGGCGGCUUACUGGACUGUAACUGACGUUGAGGCUCGAAAGCGUGGGGAGCAAACAGGAUUAGAUACCCCAGUAGUC